rnacentral:rRNA from 1 species
UACAGAGGGUGCAAGCGUUAAUCGGAAUUACUGGGCGUAAAGCGCACGUAGGUGGUUUGCUAAGCCAGCUGUGAAAUCCCCGGGCUCAACCUGGGCACUGCAGUUGGAACUGGCAAGCUAGAGUAGGGUAGAGGGGUGUGGAAUUCCAGGUGUAGCGGUGAAAUGCGUAGAUAUCUGGAGGAACAUCAGUGGCGAAGGCGACGCCCUGGACUGAUACUGACACUGAGGUGCGAAAGCGUGGGGAGCAAACAGG